CAGUCGAACGAAGUUUUUCCUUCGGGAGAACUUAGUGGCGGACGGGUGAGUAACUUGUGGGUAACCUGCCCUGUACAGGGGGACAACAGCUGGAAACGGCUGCUAAUACCGCAUAAGCCCUUAGCACUGCAUGGUGCAUAGGGAAAAGGAGCAAUCCGGUACAGGAUGGACCCGCGUCUGAUUAGCCAGUUGGCAGGGUAACGGCCUACCAAAGCGACGAUCAGUAGCCGAUCUGAGAGGAUGUACGGCCACAUUGGGACUGAGACACGGCCCAGACUCCUACGGGAGGCAGCAGUGGGGAAUAUUGCACAAUGGAGGAAACUCUGAUGCAGCGACGCCGCGUGAGUGAAGAAGUAUUUCGGUAUGUAAAGCUCUAUCAGCAGGGAAGAAAAUGACGGUACCUGACUAAGAAGCACCGGCUAAAUACGUGCCAGCAGCCGCGGUAAUACGUAUGGUGCAAGCGUUAUCCGGAUUUACUGGGUGUAAAGGGAGCGUAGGUGGCAAGGCAAGCCAGAAGUGAAAACCCGGGGCUCAACCGCGGGAUUGCUUUUGGAACUGUCAUGCUAGAGUGCAGGAGGGGUGAGCGGAAUUCCUAGUGUAGCGGUGAAAUGCGUAGAUAUUAGGAGGAACACCGGAGGCGAAGGCGGCUCACUGGACUGUAACUGACACUGAGGCUCGAAAGCGUGGGGAGCAAACAGGAUUAGAUACCCUGGUAGUCCACGCGGUAAACGAUGAAUACUAGAUGUCGGGUAGCAUAGCUACUCGGUGUCGUCGCAAACGCAAUAAGUAUUCCACCUGGGGAGUACGUUCGCAAGAAUGAAACU
rnacentral:rRNA from 1 species